CUCACAUAGCUCCAACACCAACAGGAAGCACAGCAUGUAUAGCUGCCAUUAGAGGCAACCAGAUCAUUGUUGGAAAUGUUGGUGAUUCUCGUUGCGUACUCUCAAGGAAUGGUCAGGCAAUUGAAUUGUCCACUGAUCACAAACCAAAUCGGCAAGAUGAAAGACAGAGAAAUCAGAGAGCAGGAGGACGAUUAACGAGGGAUAAGGUUCUUGUAGUAGCAGACGGACGAAUCAGAUGGCAAUGGUUGGGCAUCCACCGGAUUAAUGGAAUCUUAUCCGUCUCCAGAGUGAUUGGCGAUUUUGCAUUCAAGAAGAACUAGGAUUUGCCUCCUGCAGAACAAAUGGUGACAUGUGAUCCAGAAAUUCGCAUUAUGGAGAUAACCAAUGAUAUUGAGCUUAUUGUCAUACGAAGUGACGGUAUCUGG